GGUAAAUCUGGGCACGUUUAGGUGAGUAGGCUGUGACUGCUUUCGCAGGCUGAGGGGAGAGUCACAUUCGGCCUGCCUCUCCCUCUUGCUUUGCUUUAAAGGCUGCUUGAUUCUCACCCUUUUUGAGCCCCAAGGUCAUGGGCUACCCUGGAGGCUAAGCUCCUGCCCCUGCUUACUACCCAGGGCUGCUUCCUCUGGUUGCUACAUUGCAUACUCCACUGGGUGACCUGGAGACCCAAGACAAGACUCCAAACACCACAGUGCAAGACAAGCCACUGCAGGGCCCUGGCCCAGGGCAAAGAAGCAGGUUUGGGCAUGAAGGAGGAAGUGAGGGCAUUGAGCUUUGGGGCCUUCACCGAGGGCUACUAGCAGUUGGAGGGGGAUUUUUCAUGUGCUUUGGAGUAAUCGACUAAUUCUUGUCUUUCAUUUUCUGAGACCUGUGCUCUAGAUGGGGACAGCCUGAGCCGUGCAGAUGUCCACAUCUUACUGGAGACUGCAGGGGGUGCUGAGGGGCUGCUGUUGGGUCUGGGCUUCUUAGAGCGCUCCUUGGAGGCACAUGUGUUGGCCAAGGCACAAGCCCAGGCUCCAGUCCAGGCACCCAGCAGGGCCAGUGCUGCUGGCUGGAACCUAUUGCUGGGUAUAAGUUGGGAUGGGGGUGGGACUGAAUUAGGCCCCUUAACGUAAUUUCUCUGGGGGAGAAGUUGAUGAGGCAGGAGGACAAUGAAGUCAAUGAAAUGCAUGAGCCCCAGUAUUAGAACUUUUAGUUGUAUCCACUUUGCCUCUUAACUUUGGGGUGAAAUUCUUCAGCUGCUAUUCUCAUUCUUCUAUGUAAAACUUCUUCUUCCUUCUCCUUCUCCUUAUCCUUCUUCUUCUCCUUUUUAUAGAAAUGGGGUCUUACUAUUUGACCAGGCUGGUCUUGAACUCCUGGCCUCAAGGGAUCUUCCCGUCUCAUCCUCCCAAGGUGCUGGGAUUACAGGUGUGAGCCACCACGCCAGGCCCCAAAGUGAUUUUUUUUUAAUUGUGGUAAAAUAUGCAUAACAUAAAAUGUAUCAUUUUAACUAUUUUAAGUGUACAAUUCAGUGGCAUUAAGUACAUUCAUACUAUUGUGCAACCAUCACCACUAUUCAUUCCCAGAACCUUUUAUCAUCUCAAACAGAAACUCUGCACCCAAAACAAUAACUCCCCACUCCUUUCUCUUCCCAGCCACAGCUAAUCUUUGUUACACUUUCUGUCUCUAUGUGUUUGCCUAUUCUAGGUAUCUCAUAUAAGUGGAAUCAUACAAUAUUUGUCCUUUUGUGUCUGCCUUAUUUAACUUAGCAUAAUGUCCUCCAGGUUUAUCCAUGUUGUGGCAUACUUCAGAAUCUCUUUCCUUGGCCCGGUGCAGUGGCUCACGCCUAUAAUCCCAGCACUUCGGGAGGCCAAGGCAGGAGGAUUACUUGAGCCCAGGAGUUGGAGACCAGCCUGGGAAAUACAGCAAUCCUGUCUCUACAAAAAAUAAAAAAAUAAAAAUUAGCUGGGAGUGGUAGCACCACUGCACUCUAGCCUGGGUGACAGAGCAAGACACUGUCUCAAAAAAAAAAAAAAAAAAAAAAAAAAAAAAAGAAGAAGAAAGAAAUUCUUUCCUUUUUAAGCCUGAAAAAUAUUCCAUUGUAUACCAUAUUUAGUGGAUGUAUUCAUCUGUUGGCCGAAAAUGAUUUUUGAACAACUAGGCAUUUCAUUUCCAAGAUCCCUAAAUGUUUUAAAAAUACGUAAUAGCCUUUCAUGUAAGUAAUGUAUUCUCUUAAAUUUGGAGACUAUAUACUUUUUAAAUAUAUAAAGCCCUGCCUUGUUUGCUCUAUUAACUCUCUUUUCUCCUGAGUAAGUAAUUCCCUUUAUUUUCUGUUCUCCAGUGUCGGCUUGCCCCAGGUAUUUGGUAAGUUUAGACCAUGGGCUUAUCAUUCAGGAUCAGAGUCCCUCUACAGUGUCUGUUGCCCUUAUUUGUACUCCUUCUUGGGAGAGGGGUGGUCAGAGUCUACAGAGGCAACAGAGACUUAUGUCCUGGCCAAUUUCUAGUUGGAAUGAGGGAGAAGCAGGAUGUGCUGCCCACCCUUACAACUCCAGCCUAGAGGCAGAUCCCCUCCCACUUCUCACUCCAGGCCCAGAAGAGGGAGAGGGAAGAACCCAGGUGCCGGGACUAGCUUUGUUUGUUUCCUAACGAAUUGGCUUGGCUGUUGUCCCAGGGCCUCCUCCUGUGAUGAUUUCUCCCACCUCCAUUUCCACAGGUGUAAAAAUGGGCAUGAAAGCAGAAAGAAUGUUUCCAAUAGAUUAAUAUUAAAUUCGUAUGCUCUUUUCUUCAGUAUAUAUAUUUUUUAAUGUCAGGUGGGUAAUGUGCUGAUGUAGAAACAAAGUUUUGAAUCAGCAAGUUUCCCUGACCCCUUCGUGAGCAGGAACUGGAGUGCAGCUGCUGGAACUAGCUGGCUACUUCCACGCCAGCAGGGGUGAACUCCACUCACUUGAACCCACUGCACUCAACCUCUCCCAGGAGGGAGCAUGCAGGUGGAGGGAAUAUUUGCUUCAAGGGUACUACAUAUUUGUGUCUGGCUCCUGAGAGAGAGAAAGAACUUUUUACGAAAUGACCCAGAAAUGAAAAAUUUUAAAUCAUUAUAAGGAGGUUCAUUCAGCCCAUCUUUUAUGAUGUAGCUAUAUAAUCUAUUAAAGAGAGAGAAUUGUCAUGAGGACCUAUAACCAGAACUGAAUGAACCAAGAACAGUGAUCUAUCCAAAGGAACUUAUAACCAAGAUUACUUGGGUCUGAGUCUUCUAGGGAGCUGUCCUCACUACAAACACAACAACAAAGACCACAGUUCAUCCAGCAAACACUUUAACUGAUAUUACUGUUAAUGCUGUCUGUGAACUACCUACCUGUAACAUUUGAAGAGCCAAUGAUUUCCUUAAUUCUAUGUAGCAAAUCAAGUAACAUAUUGCUGUUUUGAAUAAUCUCUACCCACAUUCAUAUCCACAUUUAUGGAUAUGUAGACUUCAAAGACAACAUAGAAUACUGCUUAAGCAAGCAAGUAGAGAGCCAUUAGUAUAUACUUUCCAAAUCCCUCCCUGUCCGGCUGCCUUCUACAGCUCGUAGAAUAUUGAACACUGCGUGGGUACAGGGGCUCACGCCUGUAAUCCCAGCACUUUGGGAGGCCAAGGCAGGCAGAUCACGAGGUCAAGAGAUCGAGACCACCCUGGCCAACAUGAUGAAACCCCGUCUCUACUAAUACAAAAAUUAGCUGGGCGUGGUGGUACGUGCCUGUAGUCCCAGCUACUCCGGAGGCUGGGGCAGGAGAAUCGCUUGAACCCAGGAGGCAGAGGUUGCAGUGAGCUGAGAUGGCACCCAAAAAAAAAAAAAGAAAAGAAAAAGAACAAACAACUUUCCGGCCGCGUGGGGUGGCUCACGCCUGUAAUCACAGCACUUUGGGAGGCCAAGGCAGGCGGAUCACGAGGUCAGGAGUUCGAGACCAGUCUGGCCAACAUAGUGAAACCCCAUCUCUACUAAAAAUACAAAAAAUUAGCCAGGUGUGGUGGUGUCGCCUGUAAUCCCAACUACUCAGGAGGCUGAGGCCGGAGAAUCGCACGAACCCCGGAGGCAGAGGUUGCAGUGAGCCGAGUUUGUGCCAUUGCACUCCAGCCCGAGCGACAGUGCAAGACUCUGUCUAAAAAUAAACAAAAAAGAAUAUUUAGUACUGCAUUCAUACCCUAAGCAUGGGCUACUUUCUCAGAGCUAGUUUCUCCAUAGAGAUAACCAUGCAGGCCAAUCUGCAUGUCCAUUUGACAAAUAUCUGUAAACUGACUACUUAUGUGUUAGUCUCCUGGCCUGGGGCUGAGCAUUCAGUUGUGACCAAAUAGACCCUGUCCUUGCCUUCGUGGACAUUAAGGUUUUGACAUCUGGGUUUAUUUUUGCAAUUCACAAUCCAAACUAUGGUUCCAUUUAUAGUCCUUUUAUUAUGAAGUUGGAUCAUCCAGUGAAGCUUGGAUGAACCUUGAAAUGAAAGGAAAAUUGCCUGGAAAUAGCAAGGAGUCAGUACCACCAAAUGCUAUUAUUUCAUUUUACUUGUACAUCAGCUUUAUAAGGCUUAAGGAAGGCAAGAAUUAUUGCACUCACUUUACAGAUGAGGAUAUCUAAAAAGAAAGGUUAGAUGACUUGACUCGAGUCACUUGGUGGUAGAAAAAGGACUGUAAGUUUGGUUUCCUAUAGACGGGUUACCAGUAAGUAGCAUCACUGUUCUUUUCUUUUACUGAACAAAGUCUUCUUUCUACUUUCCCCAAAGGGCCCAACUUCCCAUGAAAAGAAAAAUCCCAGUAGACACUAAGCAUUAUCAGGACUAGCGUUCCUUAAGUCCCUUUAGUAAGUCUUAUCAAAUUGCCACUUUAAUAAAUCUUUUCCAGAGACUUCCCAAGUUCUGAAAAUCUGAACUUAGGACUGUUUCCUAGAGAGUUGGUAGUAAAGUUUUAAGAACAGGCAAAGGGCAUAUAGAUAUAAUACUUAAAAGAUAACUCAGUUUGAAAACAUUUGGUCACACAUAUACACAUGCAUACCUGUUCCCAUCCUAUCUUUAUCUCUCGCUGUAGAUAUUCAGUGUCAUCACUAACUUUACGUCACAGAUAAGGUAGCUAUAUAAAUGUAUGUGGCUGACUGCCACUACUGCUACUUGAGACCGUCACUAGAGCAAUUACUACUGUUACUGCUUGAGACCAUCGUUACGACUGAACGAAGAGACGAACGUAGAAAUGAUAACUUAAAACAAAAGUAACUAUUUUAAGGAAAGACUAGCAUGAGGAAGAAGAAGAGAGCUCCCUGCUUCUAGUGAGUAAAGACAGUCCCCCAAGCUUCUACAGCUCUUCCUAUUUAUUGGGUAACAGGAGCAGGGAGGAGGAGGUAAUGAUUGGUCAGCUGCUUAAUUGUUCAUAUUGUUACUGACAGGCUUCAAUUAUGCCUAAUCAUAAGAAACAUUUGUGCCUCCAACAAAUGUACAUUUAAAUAAACAUUUAAAAUGUACCCACAUUUUUGCAAGCAUAUCAAACUGAUUUCAUUUGUCCAUGUUUUCUAACCAGAUCUUAUCCACAUGCAUACAAAUGCCAUAUGUAGUUUUUAAUCAUCGUUCAACUUUUAACAAUUUUUUAUUUAUUUUUUGAGACAGGGUUUUGCUCUGUCACCCAGGCUGGAGUUCAGUGGUGUGAUCAUGGCUCACUGCAGCCAUGAACCUCUGGGCUCAAGCAGUCCUCCCACUUCAGCCUCCUGAGUCGCUUGGCUAUAGGCACGUACCAUCACACGCGGCUAAUUUUCAAAAUUUUGUAGAGACGCAGUCUUGCUAUAUUGCCCAGGCUGGUCUCUAGCUCCUGGGCUCAAGUGAUCUUCCUGCCUCAGCCUCCCACAGCACUGAGAGUACAGGUAUUAGCCACUAUGCCCAGCCUCAACUUUUAUUUUUUAAAAAAGUAUGUAAAUAAUAUUACCCUAAUUGACUUAUGGUCAUUUUAUUCACUUUAAAAAUUUUGAUUGAUCUGAAGGAAGGAAAAUCAAAGACCAUUGCCUCAUACUUGAACCCUCAACUGAAGGAUUACGUCUUCAUAAAAAAUUCUUUCCUG
rnacentral:lncRNA from 10 species